ensembl:lncRNA
CACAGCUACCCUACAAGCAGUGCCAUUCCAGACCAUGCAUGCUGACAGGCCAAGUUGAUCAUCCACCAAUCCACAUCUCCAUGAGGCAGUUGGAUUAAGCGUCCAAACUCACAGCCCUGGUAUUUCUGGAACAAAACGAUCUAUUUUCAGCUGUUGUUUUUUUCCCCACAGAAAACCUGCAGCCAGCAUGCUUUGUUAACCCCACAGGCUGAGUUAAACCUGGUUGUAUCCUGUACCAGCCCCACCGGAGGCAACGUGCUGAUAAAGGUUGUCUGAAUUCAUCCCACCUGACUUCCAGGUUUUAAGAUAGAACCCAAAGAUCACUGAACCACCAGUGGAAAGAAACAAGCUCUUCCCAAGAGCGAAUCAGGUUCUAUUCAUCAGUUGCAAGUUCUGUGCCAGGAUGCUGGCUCUUUGUCCUCACAGCUGGGGCAGCUCCCCACAGGCAGCUGGGAGGAGGCCUGGACAGAAGAGUGCAGCCUCUCCUAGGGCCUGCCUUCCUCUGGAGGAAAUCCUGGCUUCCAGGGAGGAAGAGAGCUGCACCAUGCUCCCAGAGAGACUGUGUGAAUUGUGAGGUGCACCACAAAGUUUGGUUGAUGCUUUGGUGGUGAGAUGUAGUUCAUAGAAAUCAGUGUAACGAUUCCUAAGACCCUUUAUGGCUCCAGACCCAUCUACCAGCAUCUUUUGCAGUUUCAAAAUAUGUUCCUUCUGAGCACCAGAGAAUCCCUGGAACGAGGAGUUGUGAGCACCUCACAUUGAUGCCUGCAGGGGAGAGGGAUCCCAUUGCUGUUCUGGCAAAAUGCAGUGGUGGUGGCAUUUUUCCUUUGCACAGUGACUUACUGAGUAGAAAGAAAAACCUGGAUGUCAACCCAGACAUGACAUCGGAUAUGGCUGUGAUGUCAUUCUAACCCAGGCUAGAUAAUCAUGCCCAAAUGUGUGAGGUAUGGGGAAAGGUAACUGAAAUGUUACCUGAAGUGAGUACCACGCAACAAUGAGAAUACAUAGCAUAUUUACUUUGAGGUUUGAAAAUAAAAAAUACUAGCAGCAAGCCAAUUUAGAAUAGCAUUUUUUUACAUCGAUAAAUAGUACAAGAUUUUUGUUGAAAAUAAUUAAGCACUGCAAUUGCACAUUAUCUUUACUGCAUGAAGAGAGAGGUUAGGCAUCUCCAAAGCUCUGGAAGAUUGUUCUGUCAUUAUGUCACAAUUGAUCAGUAUUUAAUUGUUUUGCUUGAGGAUUUUUUGCCUCUUCUCUACAUGAUGAUUUCUUUCGGCACACAAAUCAAAACUAUUUAUCAGCAAAAGUUACUAAUUUCUCUCAAAGAGAUUCCUUCUGAGUUUUCAUGCUGAGACACUGGUCUUGAUUAACUUUCUUCUGUAAUCUAUUGAGCUUCCGGUGGCUGAUUUAAGCAUUAAAUUUAUCCAGUUUAAGUACUGAUUACUGCAGACUAAAAGCUUCAUCCAUAUCAAAGACUUAUCCCCCCCACCCCCACCACCCCAAGGAAGAAAUUUAAAAGCCCGUUAAAAUGUCCUUCCUUUUUCCAAGAAUGUUACUGAAAUAACUUGGUGCUAAGAAUACAUGAGGUCUGUGUUGAGCUAAAAUCUGAAAGCUGGAACUGAGACAGAUGCCCCCAGAUAGUCCUAAAAAUCUUCAACCGGAUAUUCAGGUUUGAAAUCCGCUGCAAUCCAAAUACCACCACAGCCUGGGGCACUGAUAUUCAUCAUUCUAGUUCUAAUGAGCGCAAGGGGAGAAGGGAAUCAGCUGUAUUGGAUCUGAAUCCAAAUUCUCCUGAGGUGUCUUUGAAAUUUUGGGGGGAGAUGAGAUGGAAAGGAUGGUAAUGAAGUGAUAGUGAAGUAGCAAAAGUAAGUAAACGAUUAAGAUACGAAGGUAUAGUGACAACAGUAAAGCUGGAAGUGUGGAAAUAGUUUUCAUUUCUGAUACUCUCCCUGUAAAACCUCUUUUUCUAGUUUAUUAUCACAUUUUCUAUAUCUUUAUAGUUAGUAUGUAUCAUUUGGCUACAGAAGUACAUAAAAUAUUUGGAAUUAUUGAAUUCAUUUUUUUUAUGUACGUGACGUGACCAAAAGUGACCAUGGGGUUCUCCAAGGGAGCUUCAGAAGCCCUCACAACAACAAGAGCCUUUCUGAAGACUGCAGCAGAACUGGAGGCCCUUCUGCCAUGCUGUGUCAAGUGCAAUGGAGAUUACUAUACUUUCAGCCACUGAGGUUGGACUUAGAAGCCUAAAGCAUCAAGUUACCAGCCAAGUGAAAAGGCAGUUAUGUACAUAAUACCACAGAGAGACCCUCCUUGCACUCUAAGUUGUUCAGGUUUCCAGCUCUGGUCUGGGAGAUGUUUUGAGAAAAUGAUUGUAUUUGAAACAACAACUGUUGGAGCGGAGGGAGGCUCGGCUGUGCAACUGUUUUCAUCUGGCCGUACAGCAAAGCGUGUGUUCAGUCUUGCAGAAAUCGUAACCUAAAAAACAAAUAAACAACAACAACAAAAAUACAAAACAUGCUUCUCAAAGAUAGAUAUCCGUCUCACAGGGUAAUGGAACAUAGCUUUGAAAAAAGCUUCAAAAUGCUAAAACAGCAAAGGCCAUAUCUUCAGUGUGUAGCUUUCUCAAAGUUAGGAUUCCAAAACACGUAAGCAUCCAUAGCUUUUCCUGCAUUUGAGCAUUUUAGCUAAAGUCUGUGUAUAUAUGUGUGUAUGUAUGUAGUAUGUAUAAUGUAUGCUUUAAUUUACAUUUUCCUUAAAAUGAGUCACUGCACAUCAGAACUUGAUGUGAAAUACAAGACCAUACAGAAACCUCUAUACUUGCUUGAAAGGAAAUAAUUACCUUUGUUUUCAUGCAUUUCAUUUUCUUCUAUUGUUAUCAUGCUUCUUAGCAUAACACAAACCCAGAAUUUCUCCUGUGCUUGCCAGCUGGUAGCCAGCCACAAGAGCUGAUGUAAGUAGUUAGCAAAGUCCCUGGACUGGUAUCUGGACUUCCAAUGCGUGUCCUGCACAUUAGCACAGCUGAGCCUCCAGCUGAGACCAUCACGGCAUUUCAACC